rnacentral:rRNA from 1 species
CAGAACGAACGCUGGCGGCGCGUUUAAGCAUGCAAGUCGAGCGGCAAGGGCCUUCGGGCCCCUAGAGCGGCGGACGGGUGAGUAACACGUGGACAAUCUGCCCCCCGGCCCGGGAUAGCCCAGGGAAACCUGGAUUAAUACCGGAUGAGACGGGACCCGCGAUGGCGGGAUCCGGGAAAGGCGCUGCGGCGCCGCCGGGGGAUGAGUCUGCGUCCCAUUAGCUAGACGGCGGGGUAACGGCCCACCGUGGCGACGAUGGGUAGCCGGCCUGAGAGGGUGGACGGCCACAUUGGAACUGAGACACGGUCCAGACUCCUACGGGAGGCAGCAGCUAAGAAUCUUCCGCAAUGGGCGAAAGCCUGACGGAGCGGAACCGCCGCGUGAACGAAGAAGGCCGUGAGGUUGUAAAGUUCUUUUCGGGAGGGGGAACAACCGUGGCAGGGAAUGGCCGCGGGAUGACGUGAAUCCCGGAAUAAGCCCCGGCUAACUACGUGCCAGCAGCCGC